rnacentral:rRNA from 1 species
AUCUAUGACCAUGCCACCCUGAACAAGCCCAAUCCUGUCUGAUCUCAGAAGCUAAGCAGGGUCGAGCCUGGUUAGUACUUGGAUGGGCCAAAGGGGAGGAAAAAGAGCAGGGAUUAAAAAGC